rnacentral:rRNA from 1 species
ACAUGCAAGUCGAGCGGACAGAAGGGAGCUUGCUCCCGGAUGUUAGCGGCGGACGGGUGAGUAACACGUGGGUAACCUGCCUGUAAGACUGGGAUAACUCCGGGAAACCGGAGCUAAUACCGGAUAGUUCCUUGAACCGCAUGGUUCAAGGAUGAAAGACGGUUUCGGCUGUCACUUACAGAUGGACCCGCGGCGCAUUAGCUAGUUGGUGAGGUAACGGCUCACCAAGGCGACGAUGCGUAGCCGACCUGAGAGGGUGAUCGGCCACACUGGGACUGAGACACGGCCCAGACUCCUACGGGAGGCAGCAGUAGGGAAUCUUCCGCAAUGGACGAAAGUCUGACGGAGCAACGCCGCGUGAGUGAUGAAGGUUUUCGGAUCGUAAAGCUCUGUUGUUAGGGAAGAACAAGUGCAAGAGUAACUGCUUGCACCUUGACGGUACCUAACCAGAAAGCCACGGCUAACUACGUGCCAGCAGCCGCGGUAAUACGUAGGUGGCAAGCGUUGUCCGGAAUUAUUGGGCGUAAAGGGCUCGCAGGCGGUUUCUUAAGUCUGAUGUGAAAGCCCCCGGCUCAACCGGGGAGGGUCAUUGGAAACUGGGAAACUUGAGUGCAGAAGAGGAGAGUGGAAUUCCACGUGUAGCGGUGAAAUGCGUAGAGAUGUGGAGGAACACCAGUGGCGAAGGCGACUCUCUGGUCUGUAACUGACGCUGAGGAGCGAAAGCGUGGGGAGCGAACAGGAUUAGAUACGCUGGUAGUCCACGCCGUAAACGAUGAGUGCUAAGUGUUAGGAGGUUUCCGCCCCUUAGUGCUGCAGCUAACGCAUUAAGCACUCCGCCUGGGGAGUACGGUCGCAAGACUGAAACUCAAAGGAAUUGACGGCGGCUCGCACAAGCGGUGGAGCAUGUGGUUUAAUUCGAAGCAACGCGAAGAACCUUACCAGGUCUUGACAUCCUCUGACAACCCUAGAGAUAGGGCUUUCCCUUCGGGGACAGAGUGACAGGUGGUGCAUGNUUGUCGUCAGCUCGGGUCGUGAGAUGUUGGAUUAAGUCCCGCAACGAGCGCACCCUUGAUCUUAGUUGCAAGNUUUCAGUUGGGCAUCUUAAGGUGAUUGGCGGUUGAAAAACAGGAGGAAGGGGGGGAUGACANCCA